AGAACGAAAGGAUCAGACAACCCAGGACUGUCUUCUACAGACUCUGUAUAUGGGAACUAAAGUCUAAUUCCCACAAAAAGGACUAAUGUUGCUAUAAGCUAAAAAAAGAUAAAGGUAAAGGACUCCUGAACAGUUAAGUCCAGUCAAAGGCGACUAUGGGGUUGCGGCGCUCAUCUCGCUUUCAGGCCGAGGGAGCCGACGUUUGUCCACAGACAGCUUUCCUGGUCAUGUGGCCAACAUGACUAAACCGCUUUUGGUGAAAUGGAACACUGUGACAGAAACCAGAGCGCACGGAAACGCCGUUUACUGCCCGCCACAGCAGUUCCUAUUUAUCUACAGUGGUACCUCGGGUUACAGAUGCUUCAGGUUACAGACUCUGCUAAUGCAGAAAUAGUACCUCGGGUUAAGAACUUUGCUUCAGGAUGAGAACAGAAAUUGCACGGCAGCGGCGCGGUGGCAGCAGGAGGCCCCAUUAGCUAAAGUGGUACCUCAGGUUAAGAACAGUUCCAGGUUAAGAACGGACGUCCAGAACGAAUUAAGUUCUUAACCCGAGGUACCACUGUACUUGCACUGGCGUGCUUUUGAAUUGCUCGGUUACCAGGAGCUGGGACAGAGCGACGAGAGCUCACCCCGUCGUGGGGAUUCAAACCACCAACCUUCUGAUCAGCAAGUCCAAGAGGCUGGGUGGUUUAGAUCACAGCGCCACCUGUGUCCCUUGGAAGGAACCUAAGGAACCUUCUUAACAAUCGUUUCAAACCCACUUUAUUGAUUCAUUUGAUGCCACAACCAUCCAAUGGAUAGACAGUGCCCUCAAGCAUGACUUUGAAUAUGGGGCAGGUUGCAACCCAAAGGCAAUUGCUAAAAGAGAAUCAAUCAAAGGCAAAUGUAAAUUGAAGUAUUUCUGGCAUCUUAAUUCUAGCUGCACUUCCCCAAGUCUUCCUUCAGAUGGUGGCCCCUCAAGCAGCUUCUCAGUGCUGGCCAUGUCUUCUGGUUGUUAACUGAAUGUAUGAAAGGUUUACAACUGCAAGCACAAGAGAUGUAAAUUGUUUUCUAUUACCAGGUGGUGACAUUGCAUUCACUCUCGCAGCUCGGUCGAAGGGUGGGUGGGGGUGGGUGGGAAUCCUUGCAAGAGCCAAAGGCAAACCAACCCAAAGAAAGGAUUUACAAAAACGUUACAGAAAAACCUAAAUUAAUCUCCAGGCUUUAUGAAGCUCUCUGUAAAAUACAGCAGAAUACGCAAUUGGUUUCCCUGGCCACGGAAAUGAGACUUCAGCAAAUAUGUGAUUUCACAAGGGAGCUUCAGCGGGGAUGUUUUUAGACAUUUAAAAAUAGCAAUUUAGAUUUAGUUCUGGUGCUGACACACAAUGCCACUUUGGCAAACUUAACUUUCCUGCUAACUCUGAUGGUUGUGUGGAAUGCACAGUUGCUGUACUGCUGAGAAAGAUAUGCUUAGAAAUUUAAUUAGAUAGAAAAGGAUAUCACACCAGAGGGCCUGGGAACUGUCCUGUGGCAUUCAAUUUGGGAUUUACUUUUAGAAACAACUUAAUUCCACACCCUCCAACAUUCCUCAGAUGAAAAUAGAGCUAUUUCUCACUACCCCCCAACUGACCCUGCUUGACCCCCCAUUUUUUGCCCCCCCCCCGGAAUAUUUCCUAUCAGGAGAAGUGCAAGUCCCACCACCACCACACCAAUGAGAUAACCCCUUAAUCCUGAAUUUAUUUUAUUGUAUUCUUUUGUAGAUUUACCAAAACACAUACCAAUACAGUGGUACCUUGGUUCUCAAAUGCCUUGGAACUCAAACAACCUGGAACCCAAACACUGCAAACCUGGAA
rnacentral:lncRNA from 1 species